CUCUACAGAACGAAUGUCUUAAAAAAAUAAACACGGCGAUCUCAUCUGAUCUCAGAAGCUAAGCAGGGUCGGACCUGGUUAGUACUUGGAUGGGAGACUAUCUAGGAGGACGAGGUGCUGUAGGCG
rnacentral:rRNA from 1 species